rnacentral:rRNA from 1 species
UACGUAGGGGGCAAGCGUUAUCCGGAAUUACUGGGUGUAAAGGGAGAGUAGGCGGCAAGGUAAGCGAUAUGUGAAAGCCUUAGGCUUAACCUGAGGAUUGCGUAACGAACUAUCUAGCUAGAGUACAGGAGAGGAAAGCGGAAUUCCUAGUGUAGCGGUGAAAUGCGUAGAUAUUAGGAAGAACACCAGUGGCGAAGGCGGCUUUCUGGACUGAAACUGACGCUGAGGCUCGAAAGCGUGGGGAGCGAACAGG